UGAAAAUUCUGUGGGAUGGAGAGACAUGGUGGAUUGUUGAAAUACUACCUAAUGUUUAUCCUGCAGUGAUUCAAAACAAGCCAUCCAAGCUUAAAGGAAAACACUGUUCAUCACUGGAAGCUACUUCCCACAGCAGGCCUUAAUGAAAAAUAUUCCAAAGUUCAGCGACAGUUCCAAGUAACUGACAGAUGGAACAAAGUUCACCAAGAACUUUAUUAAGGAAGAGGACAACCUGAGAAGUGCCUUGACAUAUCAGUCCUGAUUUACUGCACCUUACAAGAACUUAUAGGGAAGGUUGGAGACAUUCUUUUCCCAUUGGGGAGUGUUGAAUGGAAUUGCUGUGGAGUGCUGCUUCAUCAGUACUCAGGAGAGUGAUGUUCACUACUACUGGCUGAGAGAUUCUGCUUCUGCUUGAGAGGACACCAAACUGACGGAGUAUAUUAAAGAAAGAAGAAAAAGAGGGAGAGAGAGAACGAAAACAGGACUUGGAUGAUAUUUCUCAGUGUCUGCCAAUAUCUAACAUGCUUUUGGAAAAGUUGUGUAACACAACCUACCAAGAGAGCCCUGUUUGAAUAGAGGCUAAUAAUCCUUUCUAUUUAGUGCUGUUUGUGGUUUUGCAGAGCUGACCUGCAGGGCCUCAUUUUUUGACUGGUGAAACAGGCUGUAUUUUUUCUUAAGGCUAUAAGGAUCAGGAAGUUGUCCUCUGAAUACAUGCCUGACUAGAAUUUGCCAUCAGUUUACCAGCAGCUCUAUUAUUCUUAAGCCUAUAGGACACUUUGAAUGAUAGAAAACCUUGAAUGUUCUCUUUUGUGAAGGCGAGUGCUUGCCUCCAGUGAUCAAACAUGCAGAUAGAAGGUCAGGAAACUUGCAGUAUAAAGUGUUACGUUUGAAAUAAUUUAAAUGAGGACUGUUGCAAAGGGUUUACUUUCUGUUUUGCAGUGUUUUCAGUAUAAUUUCUUUAGAUAUUUUAAUCUACUCUGCAUGACAAAUUAAAGGUAGUGUUGCACAAUGCUUUUCAUUACAGAAAAGUGUCAACAAUGUAAAUUUUCAAAUGAAGGAAUAUGACUUCUAAUAUUGAACUUCUUUUAUUUUCAUGGCCUUUAGGUAAUGGCUAUGAAGAAAAAUACAAGGAAAAUCGUUGAAAUUUUUUGGGGUCUUCUUCAUGAUAAUGAGGGACAAAACUGAGGAGGCAGGUUCCUAUGUGUUUGGAAGUUUGUGUUCAGGGACUCUCCAAGGCUGAUACCAACACUGAAAACUGCUGCCCGAGUCUGAAGCAGGCAGUCUGCCUUCUGAAUAACAGUUUGGCAUGGGAUGGGUAGUGGUAGUGGGUGACUCCCUUCUGAGGGGAGCAGAGGGCCCCAUAUGUUGGCUGGAUCCAUCCCACAGUGAGCUCUGCUGCCUCCCUGGGGCCUGGGUAUGAGAUAUCACCAGGAGACUCCCUGGGAUGAUUCAGCCCUCUGAUUGUUCCCUACUGCUGAUACUCCAGGCUGGCAGUGAUGAGAUUGAAAAGAGGAGUGCCAGGGCAAUUAAAGGGACUUUAGGGCACUGGGUCAAGUGGUUGAUAGGGCAGGAGCACAGCUGGUGUUCUACUCAGUCCCUUUGGUGGCAGAGAAAAACAAUGAAAGGAACAGAGGACCCAACGUUAUCAACAAGUGGCUCAAGGGUUGGUGUCAUCAGCAGAAUUUUGGGUUCUUUGAUCUUGGGGCAACUUUUACAGCACCUGGCCUGCUGGAACUGGAUGGGCUCCAUCUCUCUGUUAAGGGCAGAAGGAUUUUUCUUUAUGAACUGGCAGAACUCAUUGAAAGGGCUUUAAACUAGGUUUGGGGAGGGAAGGGGAUGCAGCUGUGCUCUCUGGGAACAGGCCCAAGAGUGGUAAGGCUGAGUUAGGGGUGAAAUCAGUAGCCCAGUUGAGGUGAAGGUAUGCAUGUACUCAAUAUGGGUAACAAACAAGAAGAGCUGGAAGCCCUGGUGCAACAGCAAAACUGUGAUGUAAUUGCCAUCAUGGAAAUGUUGUGGGAUGACUCAGGUGGCUGGGGUGCUGCACUGGAUGGCUACAAACUCUUCAGGAGAGACAGAAAAAGAAGAAAAAGUGGACAG